UACGUAGGGUGCGAGCGUUAAUCGGAAUUACUGGGCGUAAAGCGUGCGCAGGCGGUUCGUCAAGUCUUGUGUGAAAGCCCCGGGCUCAACCUGGGAAUGGCAUGGGAAACUGGCGAGCUGGAGUGCGGCAGAGGGGGGUGGAAUUCCGCGUGUAGCAGUGAAAUGCGUAGAGAUGCGGAGGAACACCGAUGGCGAAGGCGAUCACCUGGGGUUGUUCUGACGCUGAGGAGCGAAAGCUAGGGGAGCAAACGGG
rnacentral:rRNA from 1 species